rnacentral:rRNA from 1 species
AUUGAACGCUGGCGGCAUGCUUUACACAUGCAAGUCGAACGGUAACAGGCCGCAAGGUUGUGCCUAGUGGCGGACGGGGGCGUAAUGCAUCGGAACGUACCCAGUCGUGGUGGUUCACUAGUGGUAACGUUGGCUAAUACCGCAUACGAUCUCAGGCUGCAAGCGGGGGACCGUAAGGGCUCGCGCGAUUUGAGCGGCCGAUGUCAGACUAGGUAGUUGGUGGGGUAAAGGCUCACCAAGCCCACGAUCUGUAGCUGGUCUGAGAGGACGAGCAGCCACACUGGGACUGAGACACGGCCCAGACUCCUACGGGAGGCAGCAGUGGGGAAUUUUGGACAAUGGGCGCAAGCCUGAUCCAGCAAUGCCGCGUGCAGGAAGAAGGCCUUCGGGUUGUAAAGUGCUUUUGUACGGAACGAAACGGCGCUGGUUAAUACCCGGGGGUAAUGACGGUACCGUAAGAAUAAGCACCGGCUAACUACGUG